GGGUGAUGAGGAUGGGUGGGCCUCAGGAUGUCAUGUGCUAUAAAGAACAUCAAGAGGAGGCUGGAGAGUUAGGAAACAUUUGUUUGGAGUCCCUGGUACUCAGAUACAAGGAGGGGGCCAUUUACAAACCAGGAAGAGGGUCCUCACCAGAUCACUGCCCAGCACCUUGAUCUUGGGCUUCCCAGCCUCCAGAACUCUGAGAAAUCAAUAUUUGUUGUCUAAGCCACCUGGCUAUGGUAAUUUGUUACAGCAGCCUGAGCUGAGCAAGGCAAUCAUCUUACCUAGAUGACUUGAGAGAUCCCUUCCAUUCCAUCUGAAGUUGUAUCAACAAGCUAAAAUGAGUGAUCUGUACAGUAGCAUUAGUCCAACUCUGUCACAUCGCUGCAACAGCCAGCAGAAAGAUUGAGUGGGUUUUGCUGCAACCUGUCACAAACAGUAUCAGUACUGUAGCCAUCACUCUGACUAACAAACCUUCGGGUGUACUUUGUGGGAGAGAAUCCAGGCUGGGAUUGCUCUGACAACAUAGCACGGGAUUAUUUUAACAGUAUUGAAUUACUCACAUCUCCUUGGACCUGGGUUUGAAGUUUCGGCAGCAGUUUCCUCUUGAAGGCUCUUUCAGGGUUCCCUUCUUUUCAUUCCUGACUCAAGCCUUCCGGCCGUAAAGGCAAAUUUUUAACUGACUCAGCUCAGAGUUGAGAAGACAAAUAAGAGGAAGAAGAAAGAAGAGGAGGAGGAGGAGGGGAAAAGUAGUAACCUUAUGGAGGAAAUAAUCGAAACCACCUGAGUGUGUCUCUGCUGACUGUGAAAUCCCAAACAGCUUUUCCCGGAGUCACUAUAGCCUUGCUCUGUGGGGUUUGAACUGCGGUUCGCUAACGACCUGCCUUGGAGACAGCCCCAUGACUACAGUUUGCUUACGUCAUCCAGGUUAUCCCUCAGGGUACUCACAUUCUUCCCUUGAUGCAAAUCUAAGACAGGCACAAGAGAUCAGAAUCGCUGUAACACCAAAACUGCUUUUCUGCCUGGCUUCAACGGAAUGGAGCUGACCAGCAACUCUCACCACAUAAUGCAACAGGAGCUCCCCAGAUUGCCAGAGUCUGCGCUAGACCCUCAGUUCUUAUAGACAGUUGGGGCUGGGGUCCUGGUGUACGCAGAGUGAUGAGGUGGUAAAAAAGCAUGGAUGUUUGCCGUCAGGCUUGAUUUGAAUCCUGGGUCAGCCACUUACUUACCUGUUCUAAACCUGUAUCCCCUUAUCACAAAAUGGGCAGAGUACCUGUCUUACAAGUGUUUCUUAAGAGUUUAAAGAGAGAAUGCAUAUAAAGCUCAAUAGUAAUUGUCAGCAAAUGACAGCUAGAAAAACUAUCCAACUGAAAAUUGGAAAUACAAUUCCAGAGCUGAGGAGAGAAUGAGAGCUAAGAGCCAUGGGUUGGAAAGGCGGUAGUGUAUAAUUCUGUCCUAGAAUUCAUGACUUUCUUGAUGACUGGAAUGUCAGAAC
rnacentral:lncRNA from 1 species